AGCUUGCGGCGGGAAGCGGCCAACCGGCCUUUCCACCCUUCGUUGUAUCGAGCUCCACCAGGGGGCGACCCGGGCCCACGUGCCGGCCAGUCCUGCUCUCUUGAAACUACAACUCCCAGGCCGCUCGGGGGUCGCGCCCGCCUUGCCUCGCCUUCUGCUCGCUCCAAUUGGCCGCCGCGGGAGGGGGAUUGGCGGUCUCCAGGGCGACGGGAGGCGCUCUGGGCAUCCGAGGCUAGGAGGCGGGUCCGCCCCCUAUUGUGUAGCUGGAAGAGUGGAGCGGAGCGGUGCGGAGCAGAUCUGGUGGUGCUCCAGAAGACGGCUUCAUCAGGUGUUACAUGAGCCAAGCCCUAACUGUCCAGAAGAGUGAGAGCUGACCCCCGUUACCCAAUCAGAAGGAUUGACAGGGCUUGCUGGGCUGUGCAGGUCCCUGGGCCCCUCCGUCUGGGCCCCUGUGGAUAGGAGGGGCCGGGCGAGCAGGCAGCUGGGCUAUGGUUUGGUGCCUCAGCCUGGCCAUCCUCAGCCUGAUCAUCAGCCAGGGGGCUGACGGUCGAGGGAAGCCUGAGGCGGUGUCGGGCCGGGCCGGGGAGAGCGCUGUGCUGGGCUGUGACCUGCUGCCCCCGGCUGGCCGGCCCCCUCUGCACGUCAUCGAGUGGCUGCGCUUUGGAUUCCUGCUUCCCAUCUUCAUUCAGUUCGGCCUCUACUCUCCCCGCAUCGACCCUGCUUACGUGGGGCGUGUCCGGCUUCAGAAGGGGGCAUCUCUCCAGAUCGAGGGGCUCCGGGCUGAGGACCAGGGCUGGUACGAGUGCCGCGUGCUCUUCCUGGACCAGCACAGACCUGAGGACGACUCUGCUAACGGCUCCUGGGUGCACCUCACAGUCAAUUCGCCCCCUCAAUUCCUGGAGACACCUCCCCAGGUGCUGGAAGUGCGGGAACUGGAGCCUGUGACCCUGCGUUGUGCGGCCCGCGGCAGCCCCCAACCUCGUGUGACUUGGAAGCUCCGAGGACAGGACCUCGGCCAGGGCCAGAGUCAGGUGCAAGUGCAGAACGGGACGUUGCGGAUCCGGAGGGCGGAGCGAGGCAGCUCCGGGGUCUACACCUGCCAAGCCUCCAGCACUGAGGGCAGCGCCACCCACGCCACCCAGCUGCUGGUGCUAGGACCCCCAAUCAUCGUGGUGCCCCCCAAGAACAGCACGGUCAAUGCCUCCCAGGAUGUUUCCCUGGCCUGCCAGGCUGAGGCGUACCCCGCUAACCUCACCUACAGCUGGUUCCAGGACAGCACCAAUGUCUUCCACAUUAGCCGCCUGCAGCCCCGAGUGCGGAUCCUGGUGGAUGGCAGCUUGAGGCUGCAGGCCGCCCAGCCUGAUGAUGCGGGCCGCUACACCUGUGUACCCAGCAACGGCCUUCCGCGCCCACCCUCGGCCUCUGCCUACCUCACUGUUCUCUACCCCGCCCAGGUGACUGCCAUGCCUCCUGAGACACCCCUGCCCGUGGGCAUGCGGGGGGUGAUCCGGUGCCCGGUUCGUGCCAACCCCCCACUGCUCUUUGUCAGCUGGACCAAGGAUGGGCAGGCCCUGCAGCUGGACAAGUUCCCUGGCUGGUCCCAGGGCCCAGAAGGCUCCCUGAUCAUUGCCCUGGGGAAUGAGGAUGUGCUGGGAGAAUACUCCUGCACCCCCUACAACCGUCUUGGCACUGCAGGGCCCUCCCCGGUGACCCGCGUGCUGCUCAAGGCUCCCCCAGCUUUUCUAGAACGGCCCAAGGAAGAAUAUUUCCAAGAAGUAGGGCGGGAGCUACUCAUCCCCUGCUCUGCCCGAGGAGACCCUUUGCCUACUAUCUCUUGGGCUAAGGUGGGCCGGGGGCUGCAGGGCCAGGCCCAGGUGGAGAGCAACAGUAGCCUUAUCCUGCGACCAUUGACCAAGGAGGCCCACGGGCGCUGGGAGUGCACGGCCAGCAAUGCUGUGGCCCGAGUGGCCACCUCCACCAACGUCUACGUGCUGGGCACCAGCCCCCACGUUGUCACCAAUGUGUCCGUCGUGCCUUUGCCCAAGGGUGCCAAUGUCUCCUGGGAGCCUGGCUUUGAUGGUGGCUAUCUGCAGAGAUUCAGCGUCUGGUACACCCCAUUGGCAAAGCGUCCUGACCGAGCCCACUACGACUGGGUGUCCUUGGCGGUGCCCGUGGGGGCUGCUCACCUCCUAGUGCCAGGCCUGCAGCCCCACACCCAGUACCAGUUCAGCGUCCUCGCUCAGAACAAGCUGGGGAGCGGGCCCUUCAGCGAGAUCGUCUUGUCUGCCCCUGAAGGGCUUCCUACCACACCAGCUGCCCCCAGUCCUCCCCCAACAGAGAUGCUGCCUCCCCUGCCCCCUCCGAGAGGUCUGGUGGCAGUGAGGACACCCCGGGGGGUGCUCCUGCAUUGGGAUCCCCCGGAACUGGUCCCUAAGGGACUGGAUGGCUACGUCCUGGAGGCACGGCAAGGCUCCCAGGGGUGGGAGGUGCUGGAUCGGGCCGUGGCAGGCAGUGAAAUGCAGUUGUUGGUGCCAGGACUUAUCAAGGACGUUCUCUACGAGUUCCGCCUGGUGGCCUUCGCCGGUAGCUAUGUCAGUGAUCCCAGCAACACGGCCAACGUCUCCACUUCUGGCCUGGAGGUCUACCCCUCGCGCACACAGCUGCCGGGCCUCCUGCCCCAGCCAGUGCUGGCCGGCGUGGUGGGCGGGGUCUGCUUCCUGGGCGUGGCUGUCCUCGUGAGUAUCCUGGCCGCUUGCCUUAUGAACCGGCGCAGAGCCGCGCGUCGCCACCGCAAACGCCUCCGCCAAGAUCCACCUCUUAUCUUCUCUCCGGCCGGGAAGUCAGCUCCCCACUCUGCUUCGGGCUCGGGCAGUCCUGACAGCGUGGCGAAGCUGAAGCUCCAGGGCUCCCCAGUCCCCAGCCUGCGCCAGAGUCUGCUCUGGGGGGAACCCGCUGGACCCCCCAGCCCCCCUCCGGAUCCUCCACCUAGCCGAGGGCCCUUACCCCUGGAGCCCAUUUGCCGGGGACCAGAUGGGCGAUUUGUGAUGGGACUCAAGGUGGGGACCUCCCAAGAAAAGUCAGGCCCUGAGCAGGCUGAGCCUCGGACCCCAGCUCAGCGUCAGGCCAGGUCCUAUGAUGGCAGCAGCAGCCCCAGUGGGAUGCCCCAGCCCCUCUGCAUUGCAGACAUCAGCCCUGUGAGGCCCCCUCCAGCAGCGCCUCCCAGUUCCCUGCCAGGUCCAGGACCCCUGCUCCAGUACCUGAGCCUGCCCUUCUUCAGGGAGAUGAAUGUCGAUGGGGACUGGCCCCCCUUGGAGGAGCCUGCCCCUCCCCCAGAUUACAUGGAUACCCGGCCCCGCCCCACCUCAUCUCUCCUCCACCCCCUGGACUCCCGCUCUGAGUUCCCCAGGGCAGCGCUUCCUGGGGCCGUGCUUGGGGUUGGGGCCUCCCCAGAACCCCCGUACACAGCACUGACUGACUGGACGCUGAGGGAGCGGCUGCUGCCAAGCCUUCUGCCUGCCGCGCCUCGGGGCAGCCUCACGAGCCAGAGCAGUGGGCGGGGCAGCGCCUCCUUCCUUCGGCCCCCCUCCACGGCCCCCUCUGCAGGAGGCAGCUACCUCAGCCCCGCUCCAGGAGACACCAGCAGCUGGGCCAGUGGCCCUGAGAGGUGGCCCCGAAGGGAGCAUGUGGUGACAGUCAGCACGAGGAGGAACACAUCUGUGGAUGAGAACUAUGAAUGGGACUCAGAAUUCCCAGGGGACAUGGAAUUGCUGGAGACUCUGCACCUGGGCUUGACUGGCCCUCGAUCCCGACUUGAAGCUGAGCCAGAGCUAGGUGCGAAGACUCCAGAGGAGGGCUGCCUCCUGAGUACUGCCCACGCUCCUGGCCCCGAGGCCCGCUGUGCUGCCCUUCGGGAGGAAUUCCUGGCCUUCCGCCGCCGUCGAGAUGCUGCUAGGUUCCGGCUACCGGCCUAUCGACAGCCAGUCUCCCACCCUGAACAGGCCACUCUGCUGUGAAUGCCCUAAUGUGAGGCAGGGUGAAGGCACACGGACCCUGCAAAGAAGGCCCCCAGCAAGACCUAGCUCCAGCUUGGGACACUGCCCCUCCUCCUUUGGUGCUCAGGCACAGACCCUGACAGCGGGCUUGGUGUGGGAUGUAUGUGCUGAGCCUCUAGAGUCUGGGGACUGGAACAGGGAUCUUAGGUCUGCCCGUGUGUGUGUGAGUGUGUGUGUCUGUGUGUGUGUGUGUGGAGGCGGGGGGACGGGGGGGGGGGGGAUGCGGUGAGCGUCUUCCUGUGCCUCCAUUUACCUAACCACCCUUUUUAAACCAAGAGGUUUCUUCCCGCAUAAAAACGCCCACAGUCUUGAGCUAACCUAGGCAGAAAGUUUCCCACUGGGGCACAAGUUUAAGGACUCUGGGGUAGGGGUAGAGGUUCUCAAGA